rnacentral:tRNA from 1 species
ACAGUGGUAGUUCAGUGGUAGAAUUCUUGCUUUCCAUGUGGAAUACCCAGGUUCGAUUUCUGGCCAAUACA